UUAACACAUGCAAGUCGAACGGAAAGGCCCUUCUUUUGUGGGGUGCUCGAGUGGCGAACGGGUGAGUAACACGUGAGUAACCUGCCCUUGACUUUGGGAUAACUUCAGGAAACUGGGGCUAAUACCGGAUAGGAGCUCCUGCUGCAUGGUGGGGGUUGGAAAGUUUCGGCGGUUGGGGAUGGACUCGCGGCUUAUCAGCUUGUUGGUGGGGUAGUGGCUUACCAAGGCUUUGACGGGUAGCCGGCCUGAGAGGGUGACCGGCCACAUUGGGACUGAGAUACGGCCCAGACUCCUACGGGGGGCAGCAGUGGGGAAUAUUGCACAAUGGGCGGAAGCCUGAUGCAGCAACGCCGCGUGCGGGAUGACGGCCUUCGGGUUGUAAACCGCUUUCGCCUGUGACGAAGCGUGAGUGACGGUAAUGGGUAAAGAAGCACCGGCUAACUACGUGCCAGCAGCCGCGGUGAUACGUAGGGUGCGAGCGUUGUCCGGAUUUAUUGGGCGUAAAGGGCUCGUAGGUGGUUGAUCGCGUCGGAAGUGUAAUCUUGGGGCUUAACCCUGAGCGUGCUUUCGAUACGGGUUGACUUGAGGAAGGUAGGGGAGAAUGGAAUUCCUGGUGGAGCGGUGGAAUGCGCAGAUAUCAGGAGGAACACCAGUGGCGAAGGCGGUUCUCUGGGCCUUUCCUGACGCUGAGGAGCGAAAGCGUGGGGAGCGAACAGGCUUAGAUACCCUGGUAGUCCACGCUGUAAACGGUGGGUACUAGGUGUGGGGUCCAUUCCACGGGUUCCGUGCCGUAGCUAACGCUUUAAGUACCCCGCCUGGGGAGUACGGCCGCAAGGCUAAAACUCAAAGGAAUUGACGGGGCCCCGCACAAGCGGCGGAGCAUGCGGAUUAAUUCGAUGCAACGCGUAGAACCUUACCUGGGUUUGACAUGGAUCGGGAGUGCUCAGAGAUGGGUGUGCCUCUUUUGGGGUCGGUUCACAGGUGGUGCAUGGCUGUCGUCAGCUCGUGUCGUGAGAUGUUGGGUUAAGUCCCGCAACGAGCGCAACCCUUGUUCACUGUUGCCAGCACGUUAUGGUGGGGACUCAGUGGAGACCGCCGGGGUCAACUCGGAGGAAGGUGGGGAUGACGUCAAGUCAUCAUGCCCCUUAUGUCCAGGGCUUCACGCAUGCUACAAUGGCUGGUACAGAGAGUGGCGAGCCUGUGAGGGUGAGCGAAUCUCGGAAAGCCGGUCUCAGUUCGGAUUGGGGUCUGCAACUCGACCUCAUGAAGUCGGAGUCGCUAGUAAUCGCAGAUCAGCAACGCUGCGGUGAAUACGUUCCCGGGGCUUGUACACACCGCCCGUCAAGUCAUGAAAGUUGGUAACACCCGAAGCCGGUGGCCUAACCGUUGUGGGGGAGCCGUCGAAGGUGGGACUGGUGAUUAGGACUAAGUCAUAAC
rnacentral:rRNA from 1 species